rnacentral:tRNA from 1 species
AAAAAUUUAAGUUAAUUAAACUAAUAACCUUCAAAGUUAUAAAUAGAAAAUAUCUAAUUUUUA